rnacentral:rRNA from 1 species
GGCCCAGACUCCUACGGGAGGCAGCAGUGAGGAAUAUUGGUCAAUGGGCGGGAGCCUGAACCAGCCAAGUCGCGUGAAGGAAGAAGGUACUUAGUAUUGUAAACUUCUUUUGUCGGGGAACAAAGGCGGAGACGCGUCUCCGGAUGAGUGUACCCGAAGAAAAAGCAUCGGCUAACUCCGUGCCAGCAGCCGCGGUAAUACGGAGGAUGCGAGCGUUAUCCGGAUUUAUUGGGUUUAAAGGGAGCGUAGGCCGGUCUUUAAGCGUGCCGUGAAAUUUUGUGGCUCAACCAUGAGAGUGCGGCGCGAACUGGAGACCUUGAGUGCGCGGAAGGCAGGCGGAAUUCGUGGUGUAGCGGUGAAAUGCUUAGAUAUCACGAAGAACCCCGAUUGCGAAGGCAGCCUGCCGCAGCGUUACUGACGCUGAAGCUCGAAAGCGCGGGUAUCGAACAGGAUUAGAUACCCUAGUA